rnacentral:rRNA from 1 species
CCUGCCCUCAGGUCUGGGAUAACCACGAGAAAUCGGGGCUAAUACCGGAUGGGUCAUCGGACCGCAUGGUCCGAGGAUGAAAGGCGCUUCGGCGUCGCCUGGGGAUGGCUUUGCGGUGCAUUAGCUAGUUGGUGGGGUAAUGGCCCACCAAGGCGACAAUGCAUAGCCGACCUGAGAGGGUGAUCGGCCACACUGGGACUGAGACACGGCCCAGACUCCUACGGGAGGCAGCAGUAGGGAAUCUUCCACAAUGGACGAAAGUCUGAUGGAGCAACGCCGCGUGAACGAUGAAGGCCUUCGGGUCGUAAAGUUCUGUUGUAAGGGAAGAACAAGUGCCGCAGGCAAUGGCGGCACCUUGACGGUACCUUGCGAGAAAGCCACGGCUAACUACGUGCCAGCAGCCGCGGUAAUACGUAGGUGGCAAGCGUUGUCCGGAAUUAUUGGGCGUAAAGCGCGCGCAGGCGGCCUCUUAAGUCUGAUGUGAAAGCCCCCGGCUCAACCGGGGAGGGCCAUUGGAAACUGGGAGGCUUGAGUAUAGGAGAAAAGAGUGGAAUUCCACGUGUAGCGGUGAAAUGCGUAGAGAUGUGGAGGAACACCAGUGGCGAAGGCGACUCUUUGGCCUAUAACUGACGCUGAGGCGCCAAAGCGUGGGGAGCAAACGGGAUUAGAUACCCUUGUAGUCCACGCCGUUAACGAUGAAUGCUAGGUGUUGGAAGGGUUUCCGCCCCUUCAGUGGUGAAGCCUAACGCAUUAAGCACUCCGCCUGGGGAAU